CUACCGCUUCCAUUCUCCGCUCCUCGGGGGCUGCACCGAACAUUCUCUUCCUCCGCAUCACGAAGGGUCGUUCGCCACCCACCGUUCUCGUCGAACUCCACCCACCACCACCACCACCACAAUUCUCGUCCUUCGCUCCUCUUCGCGAUCCUUCCAUGGCAUUCGAGGGUGUUCGUGAGCCAUCUCUCCCUCCCUCCCUCUCUCUUUCACCACCAACAUGGAAGCUUCAAGCAGCAGCAGCAGCAGCAGCAGAAGCAGAAGCACUUCGUCUUCUUCUUCUCCUCCUCCUCCGCCGCAGCCGACGAUCUCCUACCGCAUCGGCGAAUCCAUGGCCAACGCCGCGUCCCCGGAGGCGAGGGACGACGCCAUUUCCUGCCUCGUCGUCCUCCUCACCUUCUGGAUCUUAGUUUCGAUGGCGACGAUCCUUGGAUUCUACGGACCGGUCGACAUCGUAGUCGGCCCCAAUUACUCGCGGCUCCUCCGAGCCAGCUCGAUCUUCGUUCGGGAUAUAAAGGUGAAAGCGGAAGAGGGAUCAACGGAUGGGCCGAUGCUUUAUGGAUUUCGCGAGCCUCCGCCGCUUGAUGUGCGAGCCUCAUGGUUAGAGACCCACAAUGGAUCUGUUCCGGCGAAUUUUCACAAGGAAUGGAUAUAUUAUUUCAACGAAGGAACGCAGAUAGAAAUCUUCUACAGCGUGAAGUCUGAAGGAUCUUAUCCAUUGAACCUCGUUAUUGCCCAAGGCAAGGAGAACCGCCAAUUUCAUCGUAAGGAAAAUCUUUUUCAGUGGGUUGAGAACCCAUUACGUCCUGAUACCACGUUGUCAUGGAACUUGAUACACGGAGAUGGUGUGAUUCACCAGAAAAUUGAAAAGCCUUCUGACUAUUAUGUUGCCGUGAGCAAUUUGCAUAAUUUGGAAAUAGAGGCACAGUUGACUUUUAGAAUUCAGGCUUUGUUCUACAAUACAACUGGAGCAUAUUUCAAGUGCUCGCUGGGUCACAGGCUAUGUGCUCUGAAAUUGUUCUUUCUCGAGGAGAAUGUAGCAAUCCUUGCAUCAGGCCCAAGAAAGCUUCAGGAAGGGAAAUCUGAUGAAUGGUACAUUAAACUAUCAUAUGGUCCGCGAUGGAUAACUUAUUUUGUUGGAUCAGGUCUAAUGACUCUAGCUAUUCUACUCAUCUACAAGAUAUUCACCAGUUUUCAAUUCAUGUUUGGAUAUAAUACGAGUCAUCAAACUACUUCAACCCCAAAUGAAACAAGCCCUCUACUGGCUAACAAAGAAGACGACGGUACGAGUUUGGGAUCAUCUUAUGAAUCAGUUUCUCAUGAUGAGGGAGAAGAUAUUGAGGAAUUUCUUAAAGCAGCACCAUCAAAGCCAUUAGAAGAGGUCGAGAGCAGUGAUCAGUCCCAACACCUUUGCGUGAUCUGCUGCGAAGCUCGGAAGGAUUGUUUCUUUCUUCCUUGUGGGCAUUCCACUACAUGCUAUACCUGUGGGUUGAGGAUUUUGGAGGAGGCUCAGACGUGUCCUAUCUGUCGGAGGAAGAUGAAGAAAGUGAGAAGAAUCUUCACAGUCUAACACUCUGAAGCAAUGAAGCAAGCAUGCUUCCUUAUGCUGUAUCCUCUUGUGAACUCGUAAAUCAGCGUUGUAUAAAAUAAGAAACAUCCUCUUGUGAACUCGUAAAUCAGCAUUGUAUAAAAUAUGAAAUAUCCUCUUGUGAACUCGUAAAUCAGCAUUGUAUUAAAUAUGAAAUAUGCCAUCAUGUGAGUAUAUACAUAUGUUGCAAGCAUAUGAUACAUUCAGUUGAA